UACGGAGGGUGCAAGCGUUGUUCGGAAUUACUGGGCGUAAAGCGCGUGUAGGCGGUUGCCUAAGUCCGAUGUGAAAGCCCGGGGCUCACCCCCGGAAGUGCAUUGGAAACUGGGCAACUAGAGUGUCGGAGAGGAGGGUGGAAUUCCUGGUGUAGCGGUGAAAUGCGUAGAUAUCAGGAGGAACACCGGUGGCGAAGGCGGCCC
rnacentral:rRNA from 1 species